rnacentral:tRNA from 1 species
GGUUGUGGCUCAGUGGUAGAGCGCUUGCCUGGAACAAAUGAGGCACUGGGUUCCAUCCCCAGCACCA